rnacentral:snoRNA from 1 species
CUGGAUAAUAAGAGCAUCAAGCACAAUGGCUGCAGAGAGCAGCCUCCUCGGUAGUGUAUGCAGUCUGUUGCCUGUACAGGUUGCCCUAAGGGACCUUGGAAACAGUC